CCAGCCUGCAACAUCCUUCCCCAACCCACAAGCCCUGUAUCCCUCAGUUCAUUCCUCCACUCAUGGGACUCCAUAGCCACAGUCUAUCUCCAACAUCCUCCAAGCUCACAACAACCUGUGCCUCUAUCCAUGCCUCCCUCCCAACACUCCCAGCCCAACACAACCUGCACCCCACUCUGUCCCUAGACCUGUGGGCCCCCAGUGCCCUUUUGUCCUUUCUCCAACAUGCAUCCCUAUCCCUACCCUACCACCCCCCUCCAUCCAUCCAUGGGGCCCCUCAGCCCUUCUCUCUCCUUCCUCCACAACACAAACCCUUCAUAGGACAUGGGCAGGGAUGCUAGGUAUACAUCCCCACAGGCCAGGUCUCGGGAGCCAUGGAGAAGUAGGAGUGGACGAAAAACAUGCGGAGUAGUGGAUGGUAAAGUGGAGUGGUGACUGGGAUCAGUCUCUGUUCAUCGAGUGGGACUGGAGAGGGAGGCAGGAAUGAGGGCAAGAUUAAAGGCACCAAUAGAGCUCUGUAUAAUGAUAGUUCUUGUUUGGCUUUAUUAGUUUGCAGAGGAAUCGUCCAGGAGCUCUAGCCAGAUAAGAAUAUGGCAGAAAUGGACCUGAGCAGCCUGGACAUCCUUCUAAAGAUACAUAAACAGUCCUCAUGUUUCUGCCUUCUGCAUCGCUGGCUUACCAAGGGAAAAGAAAUCAAACAUCAGAGUUUACUCUCCUCAUCGGAUGGAAAGCGAGCAAGAGCAGUGAGCCCGCGAGCAUUGUUGAUGUAAGUGAAGAGCCAUCCGGUUGGCAGUUGCUACUGUCAGUGAGAUACAUGUCUGGUUUCGAGAGGGCUCUGCUCAUGACCCGCCUGGCUCCAGAUAGGGCCGCCCCAUUGGCUGGGGCUGGGUUUGUGAGAAAUGCUUCCUGACCAGCUGUGCUUACGAGAGAGACAAGAUCCCCAUUUUCAGGGGCUGCUCAGUUCUCUGGCCAGGAGCGGUGUGUCCUCCACAGCAGAAGGUUGCAUCUAGGAGGAUGACUCCAGGUAGUGAAUUGCUUUCCUUCCUCCCACCUCUCUCUCUUUCUCUCCCCGCCCCCCCACAGUGUGUUGGCCAACUUUCUCACUCUCUUCCCUCUCCUCUUCUCAUGCCGUUUCCCUUCGUAAGACACGGGCAGGUGUGCUAGGUGUGCAUUCCUACAGGCUAGGUCUCGGGAUCCAUGGAGAAGUAGAAGCUGACAAUAAUCGUGCAUAGCAGUGGCUGUUGGUGUUAACUCGGUCUCUGUUGGUGGAGUGGGGCCGAGGUAGAUGGGAUUGGAGAGGAAGGCUGGGAUGAGGGCACCAAGAUUCGAAGCACCAAUAGAGCUUUGUGUAGUGAUGGCUCAUGCUUGGGUUUGCAGCUGUGUUUCCAGAGGAAUCUUCCAGGAGCCCUAGACCAAGGAGAAAGUGGCAGAAGUGGACAUGAACAGAGUAGACAUCCUUCUAAGGACACAUGAACAGUUCUCAGCUUUCUGACUCCCGCAUAACUGGCUGUGAGUAAGCGGUCAGUGGUCUGAAUUCCUCAUCUGCGCUCACUGUAGUACUCUUCACAGGCCUUGUGCUUCCUCGUUGGGUGCAGGACUCUGUGAGAUUACGUCUGGGGAGGGGCCAGAGUCUGCUGUGCGGAGUGAUUAUUUUGGGUGCUGUUGCAAGGGGUGCUUUUUGGUUGUAAUGCUAAAGGUGUGAUGGGGAGGGUUGAGGGCGGAGCUCGGUCGUGUGGGUGAGACAAAAAGAAGAGCCUAUGAGACGUUGCCUACUGAGAUGGUAACAUGCUUGUUUUUUCCCCACUUGUGCCGGGUUUAGUACCAAGGAGAAAGAAGUCAAGUGUCACAGUCUACUGCCCUCGUGCAAUGUAAAGUGAGCGAGAGCAGCGAGCCUGUGAGCACUGUUGAUGCCAGGCAAGAUCUGAGCAGAUGCCACUCUCAAUGAGAUAAGUGUCUGUCAUAACUCUCCUACUCAGAUCUGAACCUUAGAGUUCAGAACAUGAGAAGCUAGCAUGAAACCUCCAAACUUAAUUACCAGCUUGGAUCUGAUAUCGCUGCCACCAGCCAGAAUUCCAGUGUCUGGCUCACUCUGGUCUCCCCAAAACCUUCCCUGGGGAACCCCCAAGACUCAGAUGCCCUGAGUCUCACCACAAAGGGAAAUAACCCACUUCCCUUCCCCCUCUUUACCUCCUCCCAGAUUUCCCCGCCCUGGGUACUCUAGGAAUUCCCUGUUUCAAGUCCUUGAAACACAAGUACCGAGAGAUCAAUCUCUCUCUCCCCUCACCGAGAGGGUAUGCAAAGUCAGGCUUAGUAAAACUAACACAAAGAGAUUCUCUCUUCCCCCCUGUCUUCUUCCUCCCACCAAUUCCCUGGUGAGCUGCAAACACAAUCCCCUUGAGCCCCCACUAAAAAAAAAAAAUCCACAGGUCUUAAAAAGAAAGCUUUAUAUAAAAAGGAAGAAAAAGACAUAAAAUGGUCUCUGUAUCAAGGUGACAAUAUACAAGGUCAAUUGCUUAAAAGAAAAAAAUGAAUAAAUAGCCUUAUCCAAACAGAAUACAAUUUAACACAUUCCAGCAACUACACACAUGUAAAUGCAAAAAAACAAUAUAAACCUAUUGUCUUACUAUCUUUGUACUUACAACUUGGAAACAGAAGAUUAGAAAGCCUGGAGAUAGAAAGAUCACUCUCAGAGCCCAGAAAGAGAAGAGACCAAGAACAAAGGACUCACACCCAAAACUUCCCUCCACCCAGAUUUGAAAAAGUCUUGUUUCCUGAUUGGUCCUCUGGUCAGGUGUUUGGUUCCCUUUGUUAACCCUUCACAGGUAAAAGAACAUUAACCCUUAGCUAUCUGUUUAUGACAGUGUCUUGUUUGGUGAUCGCUGUGCUUGUGGCCCACCUCGGUCCUGCUAGGGCCGCCCCAUUGGCUGGGGUUGGGUUUGUAAGAAAUGCUUCCUGACCAGCUGUGCUUACGAGAGAGACAAGGUCCCCGUUUUCAGGGGCUGCUCAUUUCUCUGGCCCAGAGCAGUGUGUCCUCCACAGCAGAAGGUUGCAUCUAGGAGGAUGACUCCAGUUUGCAGAGGAAUCGUCCAGGAGCCCAACCGAACAAGAAUAUGGCAGAAGUGGACCUGAUCAGCCUGGACAUCCUUCUAAGGAGACACGAAUAGUCCUCAUGUUUCCGCUUUCUGCAUCACGGGCUAUGAGUAAGAGUACCAAGGAAAAUGAAGUCACACAUCAAAGUCUACGGCUCUGAUGCGAUGGAAAGCGAGCAAGAGCGUCGAGACUCUGACCAUUGUUGAUGUCACGCAAAAGCUGUCCAUCUGGAAGCCGAGGAGACGCUGCUGUCAGCGAGAUAAGUGUCUGGUUUGGGGAGGGCUCUGCUCACGCCCAACCCGAGUCCAGGUAGGGAAGCCCAGUACGGUAAGGCUGGGUGUGUAUGAAAAGGUUCCUGACUAGCUGUGGUCACGAGGGAGAAAAGGUCCCUGUUUUCAGAGGUUGCUCAUUUUUCUGGUCAGGAACAGUGUCUCCUGCACAGGGGGAGGCUGGAUCCAGGAGGAUGACUCAGGUGGUGAGUUGCUUGCUUUCCUCCCAUUUGUCUCUCUCUUCUCUAGUGUGUUGGCCAACUUUCUCACUCUCUUCCCUCUCCUCUCCUCGUGCCAUCUCACUUGCUAAGACACGGGUAGACGUGUUAGGUGUGCAUCCCUACAGGCUAGGUCUCGGGAUCCAUGGAGUAGCGGGAGCUGACGAAAAUCAUGCGUAGCAGUGGCUGUUGGUGUUAACUCUGUCUCUGUUGAUGGAGUGGGGCUGAGGUAGAUUGGGUUGGAGAGGGAUGCCAGGUUGAGGGCAAGAUUCGAAGCACCAGUAGAGCUUUGUGUAGUGAUGGCUCAUGCUUGGCUUUUGCAGCUGCUCUUCCAAAGCAAUUUUCCAGGAGUCCUAGACUGAGGAGAAAGUGGCAGAAGUGGACAUGAACAAUCCUCAGCUUUCUGACUCCCGCACAACUGGCUGCUCAUAUACACCCCUUGAACCAAAGGGACUUGCUCUUCACUGACUGACUAUGCCUGGCAGUGCAGGAAAUGGUCAACUGAAGGUAAUGUAUCUUUGGAUGAACUCAGGGUAAGUUUUUAAAGUGAAGAGGUCUGGUUAUGCUCGUGCUGGUUAAUCUUAAGUCUGUAUUAAUACUAUAGUUUAAUUAUAUUAGUAAAUUGUUGAAGUUGUUUAAAGAUUGUAAUAGUCAAUAGUUGAUCAAUAUAUAAUAACUGUAUGUGUUUUUGUGCCUUGCUGGGAAUGGGUACAGUGCUGGUGAACCUAGUAGCUUUGCAUGUCGCUGUGCCUGUCUUUUAUAUAAGUUACCAUCACAAAAAUCAAUAAAUGCUUAUAAGUUGUUAUAUAAAGUUAUAGGUAGGUUAAGGUUAGUAAAAUAUAGUUAGUCCAUGUAUUAAUAUUGCAUAUAGAAUUGUAUUUGUUGGGGUGGGUGCAGUACAUGUAAGGUUACUAGGCAAUCAGUAAUAGUAGCAUUGCAUGCGCUUGUAACUAUUUUCAAUAUUAUUUACCUUUUAUAUGUGCACUUAUAGGAAUAGGCAGUUAUUGCAUAAUAUUACUUGUACUUGUGCUUCUCUCCAGUAUAAUUUGCCAUUUGUAUUAAUCCUCACUCAGUGCUGGUCUUUAAUUCUGUUUUUCUUAUUCUAUCUGUGUUGCCUUUAUAGUCAUAAGUCAUUAAAAACCUUUCUGGAGGAAUAA